UUUUCAUGCAGACUGUAUAGUGAGAGAGUUAAGCUGAUGUUUCUCUUAUAAACAGAGUCCGAGGACACGGGUUGUUUGGACAUGCUCAGUUGUGAUGGUCAUCUUGUUUUCGGAGUCACACUGUAUCCAGAAGACGACUCUGUCUAAGAACUGGGGGCCGCAGUCAAUGCUGUAUCUGAAGGGCAAAUAUGGCAGAAGAUAUGUACCAGACAGUGAUGACAAUAUUUAUAACUCAGGGUUAAAAAGCUGGUACACAGUUAUUAAAGAAUUCCAGAAGUUGAAGAACGUGGCCGCUGGCAGACCUACACAUUUCUUCACAGAGGAGAAUGUUCUGAUACAUUAUACAGAGUAGGAGGGUGAUUUUUUUUAAGGUAUUAAAAAGAUUUGAUGAUGAUGAUUUAAUUAAUCCAGUGUAUAGUCAGUAAGACCCUGAUUUACAAGGACACCAAAACAAAACACCAAUCAAUACCAGUGUGCGCCAAUUUGUGCAUUUCACGAACUCUGUUUGAUGGUCAGCAUGUAUAUAGUGAGGUUUAGAAGUUUGGGUACCCAUGAAUAAAACACAUUGAUUUGUACA
rnacentral:lncRNA from 1 species